AUCAAGCUAACGGGUCCCAAAUCGGAGGAAACGCGCGUCCUGGAU
rfam:Schistosoma mansoni, Puerto Rico, WGS project CABG01000000 data, contig: 0049